GCAGUAGACGCUGAGACUUUAGCUUGCUAAAGUUGGAAGAGUUGCGAACGGGUGAGUAACGCGUAGGUAACCUGCCUACUAGCGGGGGAUAACUAUUGGAAACGAUAGCUAAUACCGCAUAACAGCAUUUAACACAUGUUAGAUGCUUGAAAGGAGCAAUUGCUUCACUAGUAGAUGGACCUGCGUUGUAUUAGCUAGUUGGUGAGGUAACGGCUCACCAAGGCGACGAUACAUAGCCGACCUGAGAGGGUGAUCGGCCACACUGGGACUGAGACACGGCCCAGACUCCUACGGGAGGCAGCAGUAGGGAAUCUUCGGCAAUGGGGGCAACCCUGACCGAGCAACGCCGCGUGAGUGAAGAAGGUUUUCGGAUCGUAAAGCUCUGUUGUAAGAGAAGAACGUGUGUGAGAGUGGAAAG
rnacentral:rRNA from 1 species